rfam:Vittaforma corneae ATCC 50505 unplaced genomic scaffold supercont1.21, whole genome shotgun sequence.
GCCGCCAUAGCUCAGUGGUUAGAGCGUCUGUUUAGUAAACAGGAGGUCUCGGGUUCGAUCCCCGGUGGUGGCU